ACGACGGGACGACCCGUCUGAUCGCCUCACAUGGGCAGGACGACCUGC
rnacentral:ncRNA from 1 species